GACGAACGCUGGCGGCGUGCUUAACACAUGCAAGUCGAGCGGUAAGGCCCUUUCGGGGGUACACGAGCGGCGAACGGGUGAGUAACACGUGGGUGACCUGCCCUCAGCUCUGGGAUAAGCCUGGGAAACUGGGUCUAAUACCGGAUAUGACUCCAUGACGCAUGUUGUGGGGUGGAAAGCCUUGUGCGGCUGAGGAUGGGCCCGCGGCCUAUCAGCUUGUUGGUGGGGUGAUGGCCUACCAAGGCGACGACGGGUAGCCGGCCUGAGAGGGCGACCGGCCACACUGGGACUGAGAUACGGCCCAGACUCCUACGGGAGGCAGCAGUGGGGAAUCUUGCGCAAUGGGCGAAAGCCUGACGCAGCGACGCCGCGUGAGGGAUGACGGCCU
rnacentral:rRNA from 1 species